rnacentral:lncRNA from 1 species
ACCCUUGUGGGUACCAUAGAAUUCAAUUCAGAGGACCAUUUAUGUUCAUUUGAUCUGUGCAUAAAGUUGGACAUAAGCUGAGGCCCAGCUAAAAACAAUUGGGAAGGCAAUGUAGUUGAACUUGACCAAUCUGGUAAUUGAGUUGUAACAAGAUUUGUAAAGAAUAGGUAUCUUUACCCGUAAUCUUCUUGUUGGGAGUUUGUAAAUGCUAUGGUUAGUAUUCAAUAUACUGUCUAAUCCAUGAUAUGGAGUACCGUUUCCCAAUUAGUUUCUGCCCUGCUUGUAUUCAGUUAAAGUUGGGUACGAUAGCACAUCCAGGGUCUUUCUGUUUGGUUUUAUGUUGUAGUAAUGAAACUUUGCAUUUUUCUUCACUGUUUCUUAUCUAUAUUUACUUUAUUAUUUCAUCUUUGCUGCCCAUAGAUGCAACUUCUGGAACUUCAGAGAAUUUAGAAAAUAAUAGUUAUUAAGUCCCUGUUGGACCUUCAUGUUUAGCACUUGUAUAAGCCUAGGACUUUUUUAUGUAGUCGUCAGGGAAGCAAGUUUUAAAGCUUUACAAGAUGCAAUUAGUUGUUCUCACAAAAGAACGAAAAUAAUAAAGUUGUAACAAGAUUUGUAAAGAAUAGGUAUCUUUACCCGUAAUCUUCUUGUUGGGAGUUUGUAAAUGCUAUGGUUAGUAUUCAAUAUACUGUCUAAUCCAUGAUAUGGAGUACCGUUUCCCAAUUAGUUUCUGCCCUGCUUGUAUUCAGUUAAAGUUGGGUACGAU